UACAGAGGGUGCGAGCGUUGUCCGGAAUCACUGGGCGUAAAGGGCGCGUAGGCGGUGCGAUAAGCGUGCGGUGAAAGCCCGGGGCUCAACCCCGGGUCGGCCGUGCGGACUGUCGGACUGGAGCACUGUAGAGGCAGGUGGAAUUCCGGGUGUAGCGGUGGAAUGCGUAGAGAUCCGGAAGAACACCGGUGGCGAAGGCGGCCUGCUGGGCAGUGGCUGACGCUGAGGCGCGACAGCGUGGGGAGCAAACAGG
rnacentral:rRNA from 2 species